AGAGUUUGAUCCUGGCUCAGAUUGAACGCUGGCGGCAUGCUUUACACAUGCAAGUCGGACGGCAGCACAGAGAAGCUUGCUUCUUGGGUGGCGAGUGGCGAACGGGUGAGUAACAUAUCGGAACGUACCGAGUAAUGGGGGAUAACUAAUCGAAAGAUUAGCUAAUACCGCAUAUUCUCUGAGGAGGAAAGCAGGGGACCUUCGGGCCUUGCGUUAUUCGAGCGGCCGAUAUCUGAUUAGCUAGUUGGUGGGGUAAAGGCCUACCAAGGCGACGAUCAGUAGCGGGUCUGAGAGGAUGAUCCGCCACACUGGGACUGAGACACGGCCCAGACUCCUACGGGAGGCAGCAGUGGGGAAUUUUGGACAAUGGGCGCAAGCCUGAUCCAGCCAUGCCGCGUGUCUGAAGAAGGCCUUCGGGUUGUAAAGGACUUUUGUCAGGGAAGAAAAGGCUGUUGCUAAUAUCGACAGCUGAUGACGGUACCUGAAGAAUAAGCACCGGCUAACUACGUGCCAGCAGCCGCGGUAAUACGUAGGGUGCGAGCGUUAAUCGGAAUUACUGGGCGUAAAGCGAGCGCAGACGGUUACUUAAGCAGGAUGUGAAAUCCCCGGGCUCAACCUGGGAACUGCGUUCUGAACUGGGUGACUAGAGUGUGUCAGAGGGAGGUAGAAUUCCACGUGUAGCAGUGAAAUGCGUAGAGAUGUGGAGGAAUACCGAUGGCGAAGGCAGCCUCCUGGGAUAACACUGACGUUCAUGCCCGAAAGCGUGGGUAGCAAACAGGAUUAGAUACCCUGGUAGUCCACGCCCUAAACGAUGUCAAUUAGCUGUUGGGCAACUUGAUUGCUUAGUAGCGUAGCUAACGCGUGAAAUUGACCGCCUGGGGAGUACGGUCGCAAGAUUAAAACUCAAAGGAAUUGACGGGGACC
rnacentral:rRNA from 1 species